rnacentral:rRNA from 1 species
UGAAGAAUAAUUAGUGGCAGACGGGUGAGUAAUGCAUAGGAAUCUACCUAGUAGUAUGGGUUAGCCACUAGAAAUGGUGGGUAAUACUGUAUAAUCCCUGCGGGGGAAAGAUUUAUCGCUAUUAGAUGAGCCUAUGUUAGAUUAGCUAGUUGGUAGGGUAAAGGCCUACCAAGGCGAUGAUCUAUAGCUGGUCUGAGAGGAUGAUCAGCCACACUGGAACUGAGAUACGGUCCAGACUCCUACGGGAGGCAGCAGUGGGGAAUAUUGGACAAUGGGCGCAAGCCUGAUCCAGCUAUGCCGCGUGAGUGAGGAAGGCCUUAGGG